GACGAACGCUGGCGGCGUGCUUAACACAUGCAAGUCGAACGAUGAACCCGGAGCUUGCUCUGGGGGAUUAGUGGCGAACGGGUGAGUAACACGUGAGUAACCUGCCCUGGACUCUGGGAUAAGCGUUGGAAACGACGUCUAAUACCGGAUAGGACCUUGGAUCGCAUGAUCUGGGGUGGAAAGUUUUUUCGGUCUGGGAUGGACUCGCGGCCUAUCAGCUUGUUGGUGAGGUAAUGGCUCACCAAGGCGUCGACGGGUAGCCGGCCUGAGAGGGUGACCGGCCACACUGGGACUGAGACACGGACCAGACUCCUACGGGAGGCAGCAGUGGGGAAUAUUGCACAAUGGGCGAAAGCCUGAUGCAGCAACGCCGCGUGCGGGAUGACGGCCGUCGGGUUGUAAACCGCUUUUAGUAGGGAAGAAGGGCUUCGGCUUGACGGUACCUGCAGAAAAAGGACCGGCUAACUACGUG
rnacentral:rRNA from 1 species